GACGAACGCUGGCGGCGUGCUUAACACAUGCAAGUCGAACGGAAAGGCCCCUUUGGGGGUACUCGAGUGGCGAACGGGUGAGUAACACGUGAGUAACCUGCCCUUGACUUCGGGAUAACUUCAGGAAACUGGGGCUAAUACCGGAUAGGAAUCCUUGCUGCAUGGUGGGGGUUGGAAAGCUUCGGCGGUUUUGGAUGGACUCGCGGCUUAUCAGCUUGUUGGUGGGGUAGUGGCUUACCAAGGCUUUGACGGGUAGCCGGCCUGAGAGGGCGACCGGCCACAUUGGGACUGAGAUACGGCCCAGACUCCUACGGGAGGCAGCAGUGGGGAAGAUUGCACAAUGGGCGGAAGCCUGAUGCAGCAACGCCGCGUGCAGGAUGACGGCCUUCGGGUUGUAAACCGCUUUCAGCAGGGGCGAAGCUUGUGGUGACGGUACCUGCAGAAGAAGCACCGGCUAACUACGUG
rnacentral:rRNA from 1 species